ACCGGCAGCUCAAGUGGUGGCCAUUUUUAUUGGGCCUAAAGCGUUCGUAGCCGGUUUGAUAAGUCUCUGGUGAAAUCCCGCAGCUUAACUGUGGGACUUGCUGGAGAUACUAUUAGACUUGAGGUCGGGAGAGGUUAGGGGUACUCCCAGGGUAGGGCUGAAAUGCAACAAUCCUGAGAGUGCGUCAUGAGAGGCAGGGGCCUGACUCGAAUGAGCAUCACGGUGAUUAACGAAUGUCAGUUGCUCGGCCCG
rnacentral:rRNA from 1 species